rnacentral:tRNA from 3 species
CUUAGCUCAGUUGGUAGAGCAACGGACUGAAAAUCCGUGUGUCCCUGGUUCGAUUCCUGG